rnacentral:rRNA from 1 species
GAUGAACGCUAGCAGUAUGCCUUAUACAUGCAUGUCGAACGAAGUGCUUUAUGCACUUAGUGGCAAAUGGGUGAGUAACACGUACUUAACCUACCUUUUAGAUUGGAAUAACCAUGAGAAAUCGUGGAUAAUACCGAAUAUGAUUAUUUCGCAUGAAAUUAUUUGAAAGAAGCGUUUGCUUCGCUAAAAGAUGGGGGUACGCGACAUUAGUUGUUGGUAGGUAAAGGCCUACCAAGACUAUGAUGUCUAGCCGAGCUGAGAGCUGACGGCACAUUGGGACUGAGAUACGGCCCAGACCGCUACGGUGGGG